GUCCAAGCGGUCCUUAUCUCUGCAGUUACUUUGAGUUUGUUUGACGUAUGACUGCACUGGUGGUUAGUUGGUUAGUUGAUUAUUGCCGUUUGGAGUAAUUGGGAAAGGACGCGAAGGGCACAUAGCAUAGCAUGAUGGGGUGGAAGGCAGCAGGUCUCGGUGUUCUUGGAGUCUUACCAGUAUUGAUAAUGGUUAUCGUGAUCAACGUCGCUGAAGGUGAGCGCUUGAACAAGACUUCUUCAUCUGGUGGGCUAUUUUGGUCAACUGCAAAAGAAGAGUCUGAUCUCAUGCUCAAGGCUGAACCCGACGAAGAUUCCUCCGCUGCUUCGGUCGUCAAUGAUCACGACGAAGUUGAUGGUGGCUUCUCUUCUCUCGAUGGGAUGUUACAGUGGGCCAUUGGUCAUUCCGAUCCGGAGAAACUAAAGGAAACUGCACAAGAUGUCCAGCGUCUGUCUCCUAGCGAGUUGAAGAAGCGUCAAAUGGAAAUUAAGGAACUGAUGGAAAAGAUGAAAAUGCCAUCCGAUUCCCAGUUGAUGCAGAUUGCAUUAGACGACUUAAAUAACUCUUCUUUAUCUUUGGAAGAUCACCACCGUGCAUUGCAGGAGCUUCUAAUUCUUGUUGAGCCAAUCGAUAAUGCAAAUGAUUUGACAAAACUCGGUGGCCUUCAUGUAUUAAUACGAGAGCUUAAUCACCCUGAUUCAGAUAUAAGGAGAGUUUCUGCAUGGGCUCUUGGGAAAGCAAGUCAAAAUAAUGCAUUUGUCCAGAAACAGGUCUUGGAACUUGGGGCACUCACUAAGCUAAUGAAGAUGGUAAAAUCGACUUCCAUAGAAGAAUCCAUAAAAGCAUUAUAUGCUGUUUCAGCCUUGAUCCGAAAUAAUGUAGGUGGUCAGGAAUUGUUUUAUGCAGAAGCUGGAGAUAAGAUGCUUCAGGACAUACUGAGCAACUUGAGCAUUGAUAUCAGACUCCAGAAGAAAGCUGUUUUUCUGGUUGCUGAUCUGGCUGAAUGUCAGCUAGAAAAUGUAGGAAGAGCUGAGCUGCCUUUCUUCAGAAAUCACUUCUUCCUAAAGUCUAUAGUCGAUCUAACAGCAUCGACAGACCUUGAUCUCCAAGAAAAGGCCCUUGUUGCAAUCAAGAAUCUCCUGCGACUCAAAACAACUGAAGCUUUGGUUUUCAAGGACUUGUGUGGCUUGGAUGAUGCUUUGGAGAGAAUGAGGCUGCAACUGCAAGAUCUGUUGGUAGAAGAAUAUCAUAGAGAUUUUGCAAUGGAUACGGAAAGCCUCCGAAGAGAAGUGGAGCUGAUUUUCCAUAGCAAGCUUGGAAAGGUGAUGAGGGUUCCAACAUGAGGAGACAAAUCUGGCCUCAAUUCUUAUCAUGCAAUUUGUUAAUGGCUGUCAAUUUUAACAUGAUUUAUCUAUAGAAAAGAGCUAACUAUACGUGAAUCCUAGGGCUUUUUUUUUCUGUUUUUCUUUUUUUUUUUUUUUGGCAUGGUAAAUGGCUGUGGCCUGUGAAGACUGUUGGUGUUGAUAGAUAGAGGAAGAAAGAGAAGUUCAUGAAAGUGGAGCUUUUAAAUGUUGCGCAGAUGCUCUUACUUUCAUGGGAUCUUAAUGGAAAAUUACAGAAGAAAAACUGCUUAAUGUGCUUUUUAUUUGUUAAUGGAUUUUUUAAAGUUCUAAAAAAAAAAAGUACAUAAAGCGGUUUUUUUUCUUUAAUUUUCUAUUAAGUUCCCAUGA
rnacentral:misc_RNA from 1 species